rnacentral:rRNA from 1 species
CCGGCGACCGGCGCACGGGUGAGUAACACGUAUGCAACCUGCCCUCCUUCAGGGGGACGAACCUUCCGAAAGGGAGGCUAAUCCCGCGUAUAUCGGUUUCGGGCAUCCGAGAUCGAGGAAAGAUUCAUCGGAAGAGGAUGGGCAUGCGGCGCAUUAGCUAGACGGCGGGGUAACGGCCCACCGUGGCGACGAUGCGUAGGGGUUCUGAGAGGAAGGUCCCCCCACACUGGUACUGAGACACGGACCAGACUCCUACGGAAGGCAGCAG